rnacentral:rRNA from 1 species
UACAGAGGUCCCGAGCGUUGUUCGGACUCAUUGGGCGUAAAGGGUGCGUAGGCGGCGGGGCAAGUCUGAUGUGAAAUCCCGGGGCUCAACCCCCGGAACUGCAUUGGAUACUGCCUUGCUAGAGUACUGGAGAGGGAACUGGAAUUUACGGUGUAGCAGUGAAAUGCGUAGAGAUCGUAAGGAAGGCCAGUGGCGAAGGCGACUACCUGGCCUGUUCUUGACGCUGAGGCGCGAAAGCUAGGGGAGCAAACGGG